UUCGCCCUUAGAGUUUGAUCCUGGCUCAGGACGAACGCUGGCGGCGCGCCUAACACAUGCAAGUCGAACGGAGCUAUGUUGAAAGCUUGCUGGAUAUAUAGCUUAGUGGCGGACGGGUGAGUAACACGUGAGUAACCUGCCUUUCAGAGUGGAAUAACGUUUGGAAACGGACGCUAAUACCGCAUGACAUGGCGAGGAGGCAUCUCCUUGUCAUCAAAGAUUUAUCGCUGAAAGAUGGGCUCGCGGCCGAUUAGGUAGUUGGUGAGAUAACAGCCCACCAAGCCGACGAUCGGUAGCCGGACUGAGAGGUUGAUCGGCCACAUUGGGACUGAGACACGGCCCAGACUCCUACGGGAGGCAGCAGUGGGGGAUAUUGCACAAUGGGGGAAACCCUGAUGCAGCGACGCCGCGUGAGGGAAGACGGUUUUCGGAUUGUAAACCUCUGUCUUUGGGGACGAAAAAAUGACGGUACCCAAGGAGGAAGCCACGGCUAACUACGUGCCAGCAGCCGCGGUAAUACGUAGGUGGCAAGCGUUGUCCGGAAUUACUGGGUGUAAAGGGAGCGUAGGCGGGGAGACAAGUUGAAUGUUUAAACUAUCGGCUUAACUGAUAGUCGCGUUCAAAACUAUCACUCUUGAGUGCAGUAGAGGUAGGCGGAAUUCCUAGUGUAGCGGUGAAAUGCGUAGAUAUUAGGAGGAACACCAGUGGCGAAGGCGGCCUACUGGGCUGUAACUGACGCUGAGGCUCGAAAGCGUGGGUAGCAAACAGGAUUAGAUACCCUGGUAGUCCACGCCGUAAACGAUGAUUACUAGGUGUGGGGGGACUGACCCCUUCCGUGCCGGAGUUAACACAAUAAGUAAUCCACCUGGGGAGUACGACCGCAAGGUUGAAACUCAAAGGAAUUGACGGGGGCCCGCACAAGCAGUGGAGUAUGUGGUUUAAUUCGAAGCAACGCGAAGAACCUUACCAGGUCUUGACAUCGAGUGACGAACUUAGAGAUAAGUUUUUCCUUCGGGACACAAAGACAGGUGGUGCAUGGUUGUCGUCAGCUCGUGUCGUGAGAUGCUCGGUUAAGUCCGAUAACGAGCGCAACCCUUAUUGCUAGUUGCCAAUAUUAAGUUAGGAACUCUAGCAAGACUGCCGUAGAUAAUACGGAGGAAGGUGGGGAUGACGUCAAAUCAUCAUGCCUCUUACGCCUUGGGCUACAAACGUGCUACAAUGGCCAUUACAAAGAGAUGCGAUACGGUAACGUUGAGCCAACCUCAAAAAGAUGGUCCCAGUUCGGAUUGUGGGCUGAAACCCGCCCACAUGAAGUCGGAUUUGCUAGUAAUCCCGAAUCAGCAUGUCGGGGUGAAUGCGUUCCCGGGUCUUGCACACACCGCCCGUCA
rnacentral:rRNA from 1 species